rnacentral:lncRNA from 1 species
AUGAGAGCAGGCAGGUUCGCCAACAUCAAACUGUGCCAUGGGAUGAACGUGUCUCCUUACCAAGGAGAGCAGGCCCAGGGCAGGCAGUUCGGCAACACCUGCCCGGGUGUUGGGCAGGCAAUGAAUCCCUUCCUUUGGCACAGAUACCCCCGCUUCCCCAUGCUCUCUUGUGUUCCUCAGGCCAUGGACACGCUGCAGGAGCUGCUCACCACCAUAUGCUCCCUGAAAACCACCAUUGAGGCCUUCCAGGAGGAGCUGCAGCUCUUGAAGGACAAUUUGCAGAAGGCUGACUUGGAGGAUCUGCGAGAGCGUUUGGGACGGCUGGAUGAGCACGGCGGCCUCCUGCAGAGCCUCCUGGACCAAAUGGCGGAGGUGCGGAGGGAGCUGAGCGCCGUGCCCCGGCAGGCCGACGUGGUGCACUGGAGCACCCUCUGCGAGGCGCUCGUCAGUGAGAAAGCCCGUGCCCAGGAGCCCAGCCCGGAGGCCACGCAGGAGCUGGCCCGCCAGGCCCUGCGCAGGCUGAGCUGGCUGCCGGAGCAGCAUGAGGCCAUGGGCAUCCGCGUCACCCGCCUCGAGAGCCAGCUGCAGCAGCACGCCAACGUCGGCACCUUGGAUAACAUAGCUGCCAAACUGGAGAAGGUGCAGAGUGAUAUAAAGCACCUGGAAGACGAAGGAGAGAAGGCGUUGGACUUCCGCAAGGAUGUGCUGGACCAAGUGGGGCAGCUGCAGGAGCAGCGCACCAGGCUGCAGGAGGCUGCGGAGCGACUCCGGAGUGACGCUGAGGACGUCCAGAGCCUGCGUGAGAUGGUGGAGCAUCUGGACGUGAGCAAAGCAGACAAGGCCCUGCUGGAGAAGGGCUUGGACAUUGUGAGUAGAAACACCCCAAAGAGUCCUGGGGCCUCUGCACCAUGUGUCUGA